rnacentral:rRNA from 1 species
UGAGGGAAUAUUUGGGUCAAUGGGCGAGAGCCUGAACCAGCCAAGUAGCGUGCAGGAAGACGGCCCUAUGGGUUGUAAACUGCUUUUUAUAUGGGGAUAAAGUGAGCUACGUGUAGUUUAUUGCAGGUACCAUAUGAAUAAGGACCGGCUAAUUCCGUGCCAGCAGCCGCGGUAAUACGGAAGGUCCAGGCGUUAUCCGGAUUUAUUGGGUUUAAAGGGAGCGUAGGCCGGAGAUUAAGCGUGUUGUGAAAUGUAGACGCUCAACGUCUGCACUGCAGCGCGAACUGGUUUCCUUGAGUACGCACAAAGUG